rnacentral:rRNA from 1 species
UACGUAGGGGGCAAGCGUUGUCCGGAUUUAUUGGGCGUAAAGAGCGUGUAGGCGGCCAGGUAGGUCCGUUGUGAAAACUCGAGGCUCAACCUCGAGACGCCGAUGGAAACCAUCUGGCUAGAGUCCGGAAGAGGAGAGUGGAAUUCCCGGUGUAGCGGUGAAAUGCGUAGAUAUCGGGAGGAACAUCAGUGGCGAAGGCGGCUAUCUGGACCAACACUGACACUGAGGAACGAAAGCUAGGGGAGCGAACGGG